CAGCCGUAAACGAUGCGCGUUAGGUGUAUCGGUGACCACGAGUCACCGAGGUGCCGAAGGGAAACCGUGAAACGUGCCGCCUGGGAAGUACGGUCGCAAGGCUGAAACUUAAAGGAAUUGGCGGGGGAGCACCGCAACGGGUGGAGCCUGCGGUUUAAUUGGACUCAACGCCGGGAAGCUCACCGGAUAAGACAGCGGAAUGAUUGCCGGGCUGAAGACUCUGCAUGACUAGCUGAGAGGAGGUGCAUGGCGUAGUCGUGU
rnacentral:rRNA from 1 species